GAUGCCUCUUGUGAGGAUGACAGCUGUCCAGAUACUGGAUUUCUGCCACCAUCUCAUUUCAAAGAGGCCACCAAACAGCUGUUAGGAGGCAAGAGUGUCCAUUUGCUACUGACCAGAGAAUUAUUCACCUCUGAAAAUAUCCAAAUUGUGGGAAUGUUAUGAACCAGGACUUCACAAAGAACAGAGCAGAAUACUGUCUCAUCAUGACGUGUGCACACUCCUCCAGGAUACAGAGGUCUCAGGAUGGACGAUUUGAACUCACCCUCUUCGACAGGGUCUCACUGUGCAGCUCAGGCUGUCCUGGAAUCACUAUGCUGACGUCAGACUCACAGAGAUCCGCUGCCUCUGCCUCCCAAGUGUUAGCAUGAAAGCAUGCACUGCUGUGCCUAGCUGAGAUUAAUAAUGAUUAUGGAAAAAUUAAAGCAGAAGCAAAAUUUAAGAGCAAUAUAAGGAAAGCCAUUUAGAACAAAUAUAAACUCAGGACCAAUUUCACUUCUGCUGCCUCUAGGUACCUCCUCAGUUCCUCUGUAAUAAUGAAGGUGUUUCUAAUAAUGUUUUGUAUACCCUACAAAUAUCUACAGUUUUCAACCACAACAGAUACCAUAUAACGUUGUUGAGCCAAUUUAUUUACUCUCUACUCUUUCUCUUCAACAAUCAUAUGCCAAGCUGCUAAGAAAUAAGUGGGAAAUAUAAAUUUCUUUCAAUCAUUUCUGGG
rnacentral:lncRNA from 1 species